UUCGUGGUGUCAUCCCAUUGGAGGUAUGGGAACCAUCACUUCUUAAUUUGAGAUCACUGUCAAUUAUGCAGUUGGAUAUUCAGGAAUCCUUCCAGUAUAUUUAUAGAUUUUGUUACCUUUCCACUUUAUAUGAUGCAUGAGAAGUUCAGCAGAUAAAGAAUUAUGUGCCUAUACUAGAGGGAGGACACACCCCACUCCUUAAAUUCAAUUUCGUUCUGUUUUGAAAGUUGAAGUAUUGUUAUAAAGAGUAGGAGCUUUCUAAACGAAUGAUUAUUUAGGAUAAAGGGUAGAGGUAAUAUGUGAGGCUGCAAAUGAAUUGAGCAAACUCUGGCUUAGCUCAUUUAUUGAAGAAACCUUAAAUAUAGGCUUAGCCUUGACUCAUUUAUUAAACGAGUUUGAGAUGAGUCUAGUGUGACCUUGUUCUUAUACUUGUUUGUUAAAUGAGUCAAACUUCGGCUGAAGUUUUUAUCAAUAGGAUUAAGUUGUAAACAAAUCAUGGGUAAAUUAUUUUUUUUGUCUGUGUUAUGACGUAAUUAACAUUUGGGUCCUUGUAUUUUGUAAAAUAGAUAAAAAUGCCCCCUAAGAUUUGAUUCUGUUAUAUAUUUUCAUCCUUUU
rnacentral:misc_RNA from 1 species